rnacentral:rRNA from 1 species
GACGAACGCUGGCGGCGUGCCUAAUACAUGCAAGUCGAACGCUGAAGGAAGGAGCUUGCUCUUUCCGGAUGAGUUGCGAACGGGUGAGUAACGCGUAGGUAACCUGCCUGGUAGCGGGGGAUAACUAUUGGAAACGAUAGCUAAUACCGCAUAACAGUAGAUGUUGCAUGAUAUCUACUUAAAAGGUGCAAUUGCACCACUACCAGAUGGACCUGCGUUGUAUUAGCUAGUUGGUGAGGUAACGGCUCACCAAGGCGACGAUACAUAGCCGACCUGAGAGGGGGGUCGCCACACUGGGACUGAGACACGGCCCAGACUCCUACGGGAGGCAGCAGUAGGGAAUCUUCGGCAAUGGACGGAAGUCUGACCGAGCAACGCCGCGUGAGUGAAGAAGGUUUUCGGAUCGUAAAGCUCUGUUGUAAGAGAAGAACGAGUGUGAGAGUGGAAAGUUCACACUGUGACGGUAUCUUACCAGAAAGGGACGGCUAACUACGUG